UUACCCUUCUCAAGAAUUUGGUGCAAAUUCUUGUGCACUAGAAGACUUGAUAGUUAUUGAAUUGUUCAUUAUGGGGUUCUAAUUUCUGUGGCAGGAGAGCCAGUGUAGUCCGACGGUUGAUGAACUGACAUCCGCAAAGUGGGCUGUCCUCUUUAGUAGGGUUGGUGAUAAUCUCUUGAUGUAUCUGUUGAAGUGUACUUCAAUAUUUCUUCCUCUUCCUCGGAAGAAGCACCAUCAGAUUUGUGGCCGUUCCGUUGCCAAAUUGUUCUCCAACUUCCCAAGAGGCAUGCCUAAGUCUAGAGCUCCGCAUCAUCCACCAAGACACGAGGCUAGGAGGCAAAGGGUGGUUAAGAGACUUCCAUGAGGUGUACACGAACAAGCUAAACGGAAGGAGGGUGUAUUCUUUCAAAUGUGCUGGUUUUCGUCCCAGGUACGACGUGGAAAGGAAGAAUGUUAUUUGGUUGGGUUUGCAUGCUUACAGAAGGGUGCUGCUGAAGAAGCACUUAUGGUGAGGUGGAGAACAUGUGACCUGAGCUCAAAUAUUGAUUUUGUGAUGCAUCAAUUCAUAUUCAGUUGGGCAUGGGAUGGAUGAUCUCUUCUUUUGUACAGUAUCUUUUUGGCUUUCUAUGCAAUCGAAUGCCCA